UACGUAAGUGGCAAGCGUUAUCCGGAUUUACUGGGUGUAAAGGGAGCGUAGACGGCUGUACAAGUCUGAAGUGAAAGCCCGUGGCUCAACCGCGGAACUGCUUUGGAAACUGUAAAGCUGGAGUACUGGAGAGGCAGGCGGAAUUCCUAGUGUAGCGGUGAAAUGCGUAGAUAUUAGGAGGAACACCAGUGGCGAAGGCGGCCUGCUGGACAGAAACUGACGUUGAGGCUCGAAAGCGUGGGGAGCAAACAGG
rnacentral:rRNA from 1 species